rnacentral:rRNA from 1 species
GACGAACGCUGGCGGCGUGCUUAACACAUGCAAGUCGAACGGAAAGGCCCUGCUUUUGUGGGGUGCUCGAGUGGCGAACGGGUGAGUAACACGUGAGUAACCUGCCCUUGACUUUGGGAUAACUUCAGGAAACUGGGGCUAAUACCGGAUAGGAGCUCCUGCUGCAUGGUGUGGGUUGGAAAGUUUCGGCGGUUGGGGAUGGACUCGCGGCUUAUCAGCUUGUUGGUGGGGUAGUGGCUUACCAAGGCUUUGACGGGUAGCCGGCCUGAGAGGGUGACCGGCCACAUUGGGACUGAGAUACGGCCCAGACUCCUACGGGAGGCAGCAGUGGGGAAUAUUGCACAAUGGGCGGAAGCCCGAUGCAGCAACGCCGCGUGCGGGAUGACGGCCUUCGGGUUGUAAACCGCUUUCGCCUGUGACGAAGCGUGAGUGACGGUAAUGGGUAAAGAAGCACCGGCUAACUACGUG